ensembl:lncRNA
CCAGAUCAGAAACUCAUAACUCCAGGAAAUACCAGAAUACAUGGAUCUUUUCCCUCCUUCCUUCUUCCUUCCCUAAUACAAAGUGUUCUUGCAGAGGCAGGUGGCAAUACCUGAGGUACUCCAUAAUACUCAGGAGACUAUCAAGUCAUUCCCUAAUUCAUUUAUUUGGGGUUCCCUAGCAAUUAGGUGGUAAAGAAUCGUCUGCCAAUGCAGGAGAUGCAAGUUCGAUCCCUGGAUUGGGAGGAGCCCUAGAGAAGGAAAUAGCAACCCACUCCAAUACUCAUGCCUGGGAAAUCCCAUGGACAGAGGGGUCUGGCAUGUUACAGUCCAUGGUAGCGAAAAGAGCUGGACACAACUUAGCACUAAAUGACAACAACACCAAUUAUUUAUUGUACAAAUCUUGGUUAAGCACCAGCUAUGUGCCAAACAUAGUUUUCUCUAUUUGUUAUCUCUUUCCUGCUCCCCAGAGUCUAGCUAGGCUAUCUGGUCUUUUCUGGCUUUGCUAGGCUCAGAUUUUUACCCUGAGGGGCCAAUGUUUUAGGCAAAGUCUUAACAUUGUUUCAUCUUCCAUCUAUUUCGCAAGAGAUACAAGGUUAGUAAAGAUCAGACCAGCAGAGUCCUUUGGGGGAAAAAAAGAGAAUAGGGGUUUUUUAAUGCAGAGGUUAAAGGAUGUGUGGGCUGAGACUAAGGAAAGACUUCAGGGAGAAGGAGGAAAUGAGGGGCCACAUCUAAGACUGGAUCCUGAGGGAGCUGUCAGAGAAGCCCCACCAUCCCACACUCUCCAGAACCUGAGAAGAGCCAGGAAUCAAUCAACUGUGAGAGCAUCUGCCUCUGCCACCCUUCAUGAUGACUCGCUCUGACAGCAAAACUGAAAAAGAGCUGAACACUGAGACAGAGAAAAUAUGCCGUCAGAGAAAGAAUCUACAAGGAAGAAGGCAUUAUCUAGAGAUGGCCUGAAUGAAGAGAGCUUUGCAUACCUCUGCUCAGAUGACUGCUACCUGAUUCUUCAAGUCUCGGUAAGUAUAGCAAUUUCUCCAGAGGCCUACCCUAAUUUCUUAUACUAAAUCAUAUCAUUUAGGUUUUGCUAAAUGCUCCCAGGUAACCUUGAAGUUAUCUCUCAUAGUAUCUUUCUCUCUCAUUUGCAAGGCUUGUUUGAGACCUUUUCCCACUCGACAUGGAAGUUUUAAGAGGGUAAAGUCCAUGUCUCUCUUGUUUGCCAAUAUUUCCUAAGCAUUGAGCACAAUGUCUGGCAUGCAACAAGUGUUCAAUAAAAUUGUAUUAAAUGAAAUUAAACUGAUCUGG